GAUGAAGACCGUAGCGAAACGCGAUAAGUAAUGUGAAUUGCAGAAUUUAGUGAAUCAUCGAACUUUUGAACGCACAUUGCGCCCGGCGGCACUCCGCCGGGCAUGCCUGUCCGAGCGUCAUUUCAACCAUCAAGCUCCCGGGCUUGCGUUGGGGCCCUGCGGCUGCCGCAGGCCCCUAAAACCAGUGGCGGGCUCGCUGUCACACCGAGCGCAGUAGCAUUUCUUCGCUCUGGGCGCGGCGGCGGGCGCUUGCCGUAAAACAUACUACUUUUUAAAGGUUGACCUCGGAUCAGGUAGGAAUACCCGCUGAACUUAAGCAUAUCAAUAAGCGGAGGA
rnacentral:misc_RNA from 1 species